UACCAGCACCCCGAGUGGUCGGGUCGAUUAUUGGGCCUAAAGCCUCCGUAGCCGGUUUUACAAGUCCUCCGUUAAAUCCAGCUGCUUAACAGAUGGGCUGCGGAGGAUACUAUAAGACUAGGAGGCAGGAGAGGCAAGCGGUACUCAGUGGGUAGGGGUAAAAUCCGUUGAUCCAUUGAAGACCACCAGUGGCGAAGGCGGCUUGCCAGAAUGCGCUCGACGGUGAGGGAUGAAAGCUGGGGGAGCAAACCGG
rnacentral:rRNA from 1 species